GGGUUGUGAGGUUAAGCGACUAAGCGUACACGGUGGAUGCCCUGGCAGUCAGAGGCGAUGAAGGACGUGCUAAUCUGCGAAAAGCGUCGGUAAGGUGAUAUGAACCGUUAUAGCCGGCGAUGUCCGAAUGGGGAAACCCAGUGUGAUUCGUCACACUAUCGUUAACUGAAUACAUAGGUUAACGAGGCGAACCGGGGGAACUGAAACAUCUAAGUACCCCGAGGAAAAGAAAUCAACCGAGAUUCCCCCAGUAGCGGCGAGCGAACGGGGAGCAGCCCAGAGUCUGAAUCAGCUUGUGUGUUAGUGGAACGGUCUGGAAAGUCCGACGGUACAGGGUGAUAGUCCCGUACACCAAAAUGCACAGGUUGUGAACUCGAAGAGUAGGGCGGGACACGUGGUAUCCUGUCUGAAUAUGGGGGGACCAUCCUCCAAGGCUAAAUACUCCUGACUGACCGAUAGUGAACCAGUACCGUGAGGGAAAGGCGAAAAGAACCCCGGCGAGGGGAGUGAAAAAGAACCUGAAACCGUGUACGUACAAGCAGUGGGAGCACCUUCGGGUGUGACUGCGUACCUUUUGUAUAAUGGGUCAGCGACUUAUAUUCUGUAGCAAGGUUAACCGUAUAGGGGAGCCGCAGGGAAACCGAGUCUUAACUGGGCGUUAAGUUGCAGGGUAUAGACCCGAAACCCGGUGAUCUAGCCAUGGGCAGGUUGAAGGUUGGGUAACACUAACUGGAGGACCGAACCGACUAAUGUUGAAAAAUUAGCGGAUGACUUGUGGCUGGGGGUGAAAGGCCAAUCAAACCGGGAGAUAGCUGGUUCUCCCCGAAAGCUAUUUAGGUAGCGCCUCGUGAACUCAUCUUCGGGGGUAGAGCACUGUUUCGGCUAGGGGGUCAUCCCGACUUACCAACCCGAUGCAAACUACGAAUACCGAAGAAUGUUAUCACGGGAGACACACGGCGGGUGCUAACGUCCGUCGUGAAGAGGGAAACAACCCAGACCGCCAGCUAAGGUCCCAAAGUCAUGGUUAAGUGGGAAACGAUGUGGGAAGGCACAGACAGCCAGGAUGUUGGCUUAGAAGCAGCCAUCAUUUAAAGAAAGCGUAAUAGCUCACUGGUCGAGUCGGCCUGCGCGGAAGAUGUAACGGGGCUAAACCAUGCACCGAAGCUGCGGCAGCGACACUAUGUGUUGUUGGGUAGGGGAGCGUUCUGUAAGCCUGCGAAGGUGACCUGUGAGGGUUGCUGGAGGUAUCAGAAGUGCGAAUGCUGACAUAAGUAACGAUAAAGCGGGUGAAAAGCCCGCUCGCCGGAAGACCAAGGGUUCCUGUCCAACGUUAAUCGGGGCAGGGUGAGUCGACCCCUAAGGCGAGGCCGAAAGGCGUAGUCGAUGGGAAACAGGUUAAUAUUCCUGUACUUGGUGUUACUGCGAAGGGGGGACGGAGAAGGCUAUGUUAGCCGGGCGACGGUUGUCCCGGUUUAAGCAUGUAGGCUGGUUGUCCAGGCAAAUCCGGAUAAUCAAGGCUGAGGUGUGAUGACGAGGCACUACGGUGCUGAAGUAACAAAUGCCCUGCUUCCAGGAAAAGCCUCUAAGCAUCAGGUAACAUCAAAUCGUACCCCAAACCGACACAGGUGGUCAGGUAGAGAAUACCAAGGCGCUUGAGAGAACUCGGGUGAAGGAACUAGGCAAAAUGGUGCCGUAACUUCGGGAGAAGGCACGCUGGUGUGUAGGUGAAGUCCCUGCGGAUGGAGCUGAGACCAGUCGAAGAUACCAGCUGGCUGCAACUGUUUAUUAAAAACACAGCACUGUGCAAACACGAAAGUGGACGUAUACGGUGUGACGCCUGCCCGGUGCCGGAAGGUUAAUUGAUGGGGUUAUCCGUAAGGAGAAGCUCUUGAUCGAAGCCCCGGUAAACGGCGGCCGUAACUAUAACGGUCCUAAGGUAGCGAAAUUCCUUGUCGGGUAAGUUCCGACCUGCACGAAUGGCGUAAUGAUGGCCAGGCUGUCUCCACCCGAGACUCAGUGAAAUUGAACUCGCUGUGAAGAUGCAGUGUACCCGCGGCAAGACGGAAAGACCCCGUGAACCUUUACUAUAGCUUGACACUGAACAUUGAGCCUUGAUGUGUAGGAUAGGUGGGAGGCUUUGAAGCGUGGACGCCAGUCUGCGUGGAGCCAACCUUGAAAUACCACCCUUUAAUGUUUGAUGUUCUAACGUUGGCCCCUUACCGGGGUUGCGGACAGUGUCUGGUGGGUAGUUUGACUGGGGCGGUCUCCUCCCAAAGCGUAACGGAGGAGCACGAAGGUUAGCUAAUCCUGGUCGGACAUCAGGAGGUUAGUGCAAUGGCAUAAGCUAGCUUGACUGCGAGCGUGACGGCGCGAGCAGGUGCGAAAGCAGGUCAUAGUGAUCCGGUGGUUCUGAAUGGAAGGGCCAUCGCUCAACGGAUAAAAGGUACUCCGGGGAUAACAGGCUGAUACCGCCCAAGAGUUCAUAUCGACGGCGGUGUUUGGCACCUCGAUGUCGGCUCAUCACAUCCUGGGGCUGAAGUAGGUCCCAAGGGUAUGGCUGUUCGCCAUUUAAAGUGGUACGCGAGCUGGGUUUAGAACGUCGUGAGACAGUUCGGUCCCUAUCUGCCGUGGGCGCUGGAGAAUUGAGGGGGGCUGCUCCUAGUACGAGAGGACCGGAGUGGACGCAUCACUGGUGUUCGGGUUGUCAUGCCAAUGGCACUGCCCGGUAGCUAAAUGCGGAAGAGAUAAGUGCUGAAAGCAUCUAAGCACGAAACUUGCCCCGAGAUGAGUUCUCCCUGAGACUUUAAGUCUCCUGAAGGAACGUUAAAGACGAUGACGUUGAUAGGCCGGGUGUGUAAGCGCAGCGAUGCGUUGAGCUAACCGGUACUAAUGAACCGUGAGGCUUAACCUUACAACGCCGAAG
rnacentral:rRNA from 1 species